GACGAACGCUGGCGGCGUGCUUAACACAUGCAAGUCGAACGGAAAGGCCCUGCUUUUGUGGGGUGCUCGAGUGGCGAACGGGUGAGUAACACGUGAGUAACCUGCCCUUGACUUUGGGAUAACUUCAGGAAACUGGGGCUAAUACCGGAUAGGAGCUCCUGCUGCAUGGUGGGGGUUGGAAAGUUUCGGCGGUUGGGGAUGGGCUCGCGGCUUAUCAGCUUGUUGGUGGGGUAGUGGCUUACCAAGGCUUUGACGGGUAGCCGGCCUGAGAGGGUGACCGGCCACAUUGGGACUGCGAUACGGCCCAGACUCCUACGGGAGGCAGCAGUGGGGAAUAUUGCACAAUGGGCGGAAGCCUGAUGCAGCAACGCCGCGUGCGGGAUGACGGCCUUCGGGUUGUAAACCGCUUUCGCCUGUGACGAAGCGUGAGUGACGGUAAUGGGUAAAGAAGCACCGGCUAACUACGUG
rnacentral:rRNA from 1 species